GAGAGCCAGAAGCUGUUUCACUUUCAGUGGGAAGAUCCGGAGUCAGGUAUCACUACUCAGUACACUUGGACCCGGCUUCCCCAAGGGUUCCAGAGCUCCCCCACCAUCUUCAGGGAGGCGUUGGCUAGAGACCUCCAGAAGCUUCCCACCAGAGACCUAGGCUGCGUGUUGCUCCAGUACGUUGAUGACCUUUUGCUGAGACACCCUACGGCAGUCAGGUGCGCCAAGGGAACGGAUGCCCUACUCCAGCGCCUGGAGGACUGUGGGUAUAAGGUGUCCAAGAAAAAAGCUGAGAUCUGUCGACAGCAGGUACGUUACUUGGGAUUUACUAUCCGACACGGGGAAUGCAGCCUGGGAUCAGAAAGAAAGCAGGUCAUUUGCAAUCUACUGGAGCCUAAGAGCAGAAGGCAAGUGAGAGAAUUCUUAGGAGCUGUGGGGUUUUGUAGACUGUGGACCCCAAACUUUGCAGUAUUAGCCAAGCCUUUGUAUGAGGUCACAAAGUGGGGGACCGGGAACCUUUUGAAUGGGGAUCUCAACAACAGCAAGCCUUUCAUGAGUUAAAGGAAAAAACUUAUGUCAGCCCCAGCCCUGGGGCUACCCGAUCUGACAAAGCCUUUUACAUUGUAUGUGUCCGAGAGAGAAAAGAUGGCAGUUGGAGUUUUCACCCAAACUGUGGGGCCCUGGCCGAGGCCAGUGGCCUACCUCUCUAAACAACUAGACGGGGUUCCUAAAGGAUGGCCCCUGUGUUUGAGGGCCUUGGCAGCAACUGCCCUGCUAGUACAAGAAGCAAAUAAGCUGACUCUUGGGCAAAACCUGAACAUAAAGGCUCCCCAUGCUGUGUUGACUUUAAUGAAUACUAAAGGACAUCAUUGGCUAACGAAUGCUAGACUCACCAAGUACCAAAGUUUGCUCUGUGAAAAUCUCCGUAUAACCAUUGAAGUUUGGAACACCCUAAACCCCACCACCUUGCUCCCAGUAUCAGAGAGCCCUGUCGGGCAUGAUUGUGUAAAAGUGUUUGACUCAGUUGACUCUAGUAGAUCUGACCUCCGGGACCAGCCUUGGGCAUCAGUAGACUGGCAACUACACGUGGACGGGAGCAGCUUCAUCAACCUACAAGGAGAGAGAUGUGCAGGGUAUGCAGUGGUAACCCUGUACACUGUUGAAGCCAGAUCGUUGCCCAGGGCACUUCAGCCCAGAAAGCUGAACCCAUUGCUUUAAUUUGGGCCUUAGAACUCCAUGAAGGUAAGACUGUAAACAUUGACACUGAUUCUCGGUAUGCCUUUUUAACCCUUCAAGUGCAUGGAGCAUUAUAGAAAGAAAACGGCCUAUGGAACUCUGGGGGAAAAGACAUAAAAUAUCAACAAGAAAUCUUGCAAUUAUUAGAAGCAGUAUGGAAACCCCACAAGGUGGCAGGUAUGCAUUGCAGAGGACACCAGCGAGCUUCCACCUUGCUGGGUUUGGGGAAUUCCCGCGCUGACUCAGAGGCUCGAAAAGCAGCAUCUGCCCCCUUCCGGGAAUCAGUCACAGCCCCUCUGCUCCCUCAAGCACCUGAUCUUGUACCUACUUAUUCUAAAGAAGAAAAGGACUUUCUCCAGGUAGAGGGAAGGACAAGUGAUGGAGGAAGGAUGGAUUCGGUUACCAGAUGGGAGAGUAGCUGUGCCACAGCUGCUAGGAGCUGCAGUUGUACUGGCUGUGCAUGAAACCACCCAUCUAGGUCAGAGUCACUGGAAAAGUUGUUAGGCCUGUAUUUCUACAUCUCGCAUUUGUCAGCCCUUGCCAAAACGGUGACACAGCGGUGUGUUACCUGCUGACAGCACAAUGCGAGACAAGGUCCAGCCAUUCCGCCCGGCAUAAAAGCUUAUGGAGCAGCCCCCUUUGAAGAUCUCCAGGGAGACUUCACAGAGAUGCCAAAGUGUGGAGGUCAGAAGUAUUUACUAGUUCUUGGGUGUACCUAUUCUGGGUGGGUGGAGGCUUAUCCAACACGAACUGAGAAAGCUCGUGAAGUAACCCGUGUGUUUCUUCGAGAUCUGAUUCCUAGAUUUGGACUGCCCUUACGGAUCAGCUCAGAUAACGGGCCUGCGUUUGUGGCUGACUUGGUACAGAAGACGGCGAAGGUAUCGGGCAUCACAUGGAAACGGCAUGCCGCGUACCAGCCUCAGAGUUCCGGAAAGGCUAUAGAUAAAGGGGUUAAGCAUGGAAGUGACCGCCGUGUACAUCACUGCAGCCACUGCACCCUUUCUGGGGGAAGAUGACACAUCUGAACUGAGGUACCCUCCAACGCCUGUUCCAUAAAAUCAGCAAACAACUGACAGAGAUCAUGCAGCGGGCGCCCACGAUCGGUUUAAUCAUCACUCACUUCCAUUGGAUCAACUAGAAAUCAACUCAGACGAGAGUGCUGAGUCUCAGAGGAUGGACAUCUCACCCCUUGCCAUACAGAUAAGUAGAAAGGGUGGUAUUCAAAAUUAAUGGCCAGACUCUAAGUCCCAGAUACUAUACUUCAUGGUCUUCCAACUCUCAAAAAGUUGUGGGGUUUUGUUUUUGUUUUUUUGAGACGGAGUCUCAUUCUGUUGCCCAGGCUGGAAGUGCAGUGGAGUGAUCUCAGCUCAUUGCAACCUCCGCAUCCCAGGUUCAAGCUAUUCUCCUGCCUCAGCCUGCUGAGUAGCUGAGAUUACAGGUGCCCGCCACUAUGCCCGACUAAUUUUUUUCUAUUUUUAGUAGAGACGGGGUUUCACCAUGUUGGCCAGGCUGGUCUCGAACACCUGAGCUUGUGAUUCGCCUGCCUCAGCCUCCCAAAGUGCUGGGAUUACAGGCGUGAGCCACCGCGCCCAGCUUCAAAAAGUUUAAAGCAGAGCUCAGAGGUCUUAACCACAGGUACAUCUGAGGAGCAUUUUUGAAACGGUUUCCAGCUUCCUCAACAGGAACGGAAGCCAAACUCCGAAUUUAUGACUCCUUUGAGGAAGUCGAGAGCUGUAAGGAAAGCCAGGAACGGGGCAAGGGAGAGAUACAUCCCGAAUGAUCCUGUGCCAAUUCUUUCUGGAAUCUUUGAUGUGAUCUCAGCUGCCCUUUCUAUACUUGACACAGUGAUUGUGGCACCCACUGGUCUAGCUGUGGUCUACAAGGAACCCCCAAAGGGAAGGGCACAGUGAGGAGGGGCAUCGGCCUGAGUGACAAGGAUUUGAGAGGGCAGGUUGGAUGCAGGGAGAGGACUGGCCAAAUGCCAUGUGUCUGGACUUAGGCUGCCUGGUUCAAACUGGACUUCACCCUUUUUGACUUCAUGAUCUGGUACAAGUUAUAUGAAAAUGCGUUGCUCCUUUUCUAGUCUGUAAAAUAAUAAUGAAAUGUGCACUAAUAACUGGGAGACUACGCAGAGGAAAUGAAACAAGCUGCAUAGACCACAGAGCUCAGAGCCUGGCCUUUAGGAAGCCCUCAGUAAGGGUUCAUGAUGCCAUGGUGUCUGUCAUCAUCCUCUUUAUCCUCAUCAUCACCUUCAUAAUCUUUUUAUUGUUCUUAGGGAAUAGUUUAGAGGGACUCAUUCCCUGCUAUCAUGGGUGAGAUGUCUAUGAAAAGGACAACCAGUGGGGGAGGAAAGCAAAAUUUUGAAUAAGAUUUCUGAGACCCCCCCCCCACACCAUAACCAAGAACAGAAACUCCACAGUCUGCUGAGCCGACAGUUUGCACGUUGGUCUCCUCCCAUCUGCCCACUGCACUCUCCUGUUUUUUUCCUGAGGAUGAGGAUACAAAACAAGGCUCCCAACCAUCCCUCAGCACUCACUGAACUGCCCUUCCCCUCUGCUGGGCCAUGACCACGGAGAACAGGUCCACUGUCCUCCCUGCGUGGUGCACGAUGGAGGCUCAGACUCCGUCCUCAAGGCUGGCAAGAAGACAGGGUGAGACAUGAGCCUCCUGAUACAGGUGACGGGUGUGGAGCCCACAGGACUGGAACCUCACACUGCAGGGCUGGAGGCACAGACUAUUUACUAUUCUAUGGCCUGGGGGGCUCAAGGCACAGAGCUCCUCAUUAGCCAAAGUCGCCCAAGUUCCCCAACCUUUAAGGAUUUCCUCAUAAUAAUGCAAGAAGAAGAAGAGAAAAGUGAGUGUCCAUAGAAGCUUUGGGGCUCUUCCUCUAAUCAGGAGAAAGCUGGUGUGUAUUAUUCACUUCUUUCUUUUCUUUUUAAAGAUCCAACUGCUUUAAUUUUAAUCUUUCAUUAUGGGAAAAUAUACCACAUAUAAAUAUUAAAAAUUAUAAAUAUAUAUUAUUUCAUAUAGAAUGGCCAGUAUAAACAUUUACAAUUUCCACUGUUUUUCAGUUUACAGUUUAAUGACAUUAAGUACAUUCACAUUGUUGAGCAACCAUCACCGCCAUCAUCUCCAGAACAGUUUUAUCUUUCAAAAUGGAAAUUGCAUCCAUUAACCAAACUCUCCAUUCCUCUCUCUCGCCCACCCCUGGGGGCCACCAUUCUAGUUUGCAACUCUAUGAGUUUAACUACUCUAGACCCUUGAUAUAAGUGGAAUCAUACCGUGUUUAUUUAUUUAUUUAUUUAUUUUUUGGAGACAGUCUUUCUCUGUCGCCCAGGCCGGAGUGCAGUGUUGUGAUCUCAGCUCACUGCAACCUCCACAAGUUCAAGCGAUUCUUGUGUCUCAGUCUCCCGAGUAGCUGGGAUUACAGGCGUGUGCCACCACACCCAGCUAAUUUUUGUAUUUUUAAUAGAGACAAGCUUUCACCAUAUUGGCCAGGCUGGUCUCGAACUCCUGACCUUAAGUGAUCUGCCUGCCUCAGCCUCCCAAAGUGCUGGGGUUACAGGUGCAAGCCACUGAGUCUGGUUGUGUUUAUCCUUUUCAGAUUUAUUCAUUUCACUGACGAUAAUGUCUUCAAGGUUCAUCCAUGUUGCAGCCUGUGUCAGAAGUGCCUGUCUGUUUUGUUUUUUGGUUUUGUUUUUUUUUUUUUUUUUUUUGGUUUUAUUUCAUUUUGUGUUCACAUGGAGUCUCACUCUGUCACACAGGCUGGAGUGCAGUGGCACAAUCUGGGCUCACUGCAACCUCCGCCUCCCGGGUUCAAGCGAUUCUUGUGCCUCAGCCUCCCGAGUAGCUGGGACUAUAGGCACACGCCACCACGCUUGUCUAAUUUUUUGCAUUUUCAGUAGAGACAGGAUUUCACCAAAUGGCCAGGCUGGUCUUGAACUCCUGACCUCAGGUGAUCCUCCCACCUCGGUCUUCCAAGAUGCUGGGAUUACAGGCGUGAGCCACCGCACCGGCCAGAAGUGCCUGCCUUUUUAGGGCUGAAUAGUCUUCCAUUGUAUGAAUGCACUGCAGCGUGUUUUUUCAUUCAUCUGUCCACGAACCCUUGGCUUGCUUCCACAUCUUGGCUGUUGUGAAUAAUGCUGCUAUGAAUAUGGGUGUACAAAUAUCUCUUCCACUCCUGGCUUCUAAUUCUUUUUGGUAGGAACCCACAAGUGCAACUGCGGGAACAUCUGAUGAUUCUGUUUCUAAUUUUUCCAGUACACGCCAUACUAUUUUCCCUGUUCCUUCAUGGUUUUACAUUCCCUCCAAUCAUAUUCGAGCAUUCCUACUUCCCUCUAGUUUCACCAAUGCUUGUUUGUUUAUCAUAUCCAUCCUAAUGUGUGGUAUCACAUUAUUGGUUUGAUUUGUGCUUCCCUAUGAUUAGUGAUUUGAACAUCACUUUAGAUGUUUAUUGGCCAUUGCUAUAUCUUCUUUAGGGACACGUCUACUCGAAUCUUCUGACCAUUGUUAAUGGGAUGCUUUGGGUUUCUUGUUGUUUAGUUCUGGCUGUUCUUUAUAUAUGAUGGAUAUCAGCCUCUUUUCAGAUAUAUGAUUUGCAAAUAUUUUUCCUAAUCCACGGGUUAUCUUUUCACUCAGUUCACAGUGUUUUUUGAUGCACAAAAGUGCCUGUCAUUUAGAUGUAAUCCAAGGAAUCUAAUUUUCUUUUGUUGCCUAUGCUUUUGGUGUCACAUCCCAGAAAGCGUUGCCCAAUCUGAUGUCAUGAAAGUGUGGCCAAUGUUUUCUUUUAGGCAUAUUAUACUUUUAGCACUUGGGGUGAGGUCUUUGAUCCAGUUUGUGUUAAUUUUUGCACCUGGUGUGACAUAGGCUCCACCUUCAUUCUUCUGCAUGUGGAGAUCAAGUUUCUCCAACACCAUUUCUUGAAAAGGCUGCUUUUCCACCAAUGAACUUUCUUAGCACUCGUGUUAAAAAUCAUUUGAACAUAUAGGUGAGAAGUUAUUUCUGGGCUCAAAAACAAACAAACAGCAAGAGACAACAGAUAAAGAUACAGCAUGGGCCGAGCGCAGUUGCUCACGCCUGUAAUCCCAGCACUUUGGGAGGCCGAGGUGGGCGGAUCACCUGAGGUCAGGAGUUCAAGACCAGCCUGACCGACAGGGAGAAACCCCCGUCUCUACUAAAAAUACAACAUUAGCUGGGCGUGCUGGCACAUGCCUGUAAUCCCAGCUACUCGGGAGGUGGAGGCAGGAGAAUCGCUUGAACCCAGGAGGCAGAGGUUGCGGUGAGCCAAGAUUGCACCAUUACACUCCAGCCUGGGCAACAAGAGCGAAACUCCAUCUCAAAACAAAAAAAAACAAAAAAAAUAUGAUUUCAAGAGCAGAAAGAGAAGAGCUUAAAAACCAGCAUAAUGAGAAAGUUAGGAAGCUUCUUACCAAAGCGUCUGGAAAUAUGCAAGAAAUUCUUGUGAGUUAAAUUUUCAUACUGUACUAUCAAACACUAGAACUCACUUAUUCCAUCUUUCUGUAUUUUGGGACCCAAUUAUCCACUUCUCUUCAUUCCCCAUCCCACCCCUUUUCUUCCUAGCGUCUGCUAACCCCCUUUAUACUCUCCACCUUCCUGAGAUUCCUUUUGUGUGUAGGUGUGUGAUGGAGUCUCUUUCUGUUGCCCAGGUUGGAGUAUACAGGCACAAUCCGGGCUCACUGCAACCUCCGCCUCCCGAGUUCAAGUGCUUCUUGGGCCUCAGCCUUCCGAGUAGCUGAGACUACAGGCACACGUCACCACACCCGGCUAAUCUUUUGUGUUUUUAGUAGAGACGGGGUUUCACUAUGUUGGCCAGGAGGGUUUCGAACUCCUGGCCUCAAGUGAUCCGUGCGACUCGGCCUCCCAAAGUGCUGGGAUUAGAGGCCUGAGCCACCACACCUGGCCAAGAUUUUCUUUUUUGUUCCUAU
rnacentral:lncRNA from 1 species